GACGAACGCUGGCGGCGUGCCUAAUACAUGCAAGUCGAACGAACCGCGACUAGGUGCUUGCACUUGGUCAAGGUGAGUGGCGAACGGGUGAGUAACACGUGGGUAACCUACCUCAUAGUGGGGGAUAACAGUCGGAAACGACUGCUAAUACCGCCUAGGACAUAGGAUCACAUGAUCCAGUGAGGAAAGGUGGCGCAAGCUAUCGCUAAGAGAUGGACCCGCGGUGCAUUAGCUAGUUGGUAGGGUAAAGGCCUACCAAGGCGAUGAUGCAUAGCCGACCUGAGAGGGUGAUCGGCCACAUUGGGACUGAGCCACGGCCCAAACUCCUACGGGAGGCAGCAGUAGGGAAUCUUCCGCAAUGGACGCAAGUCUGACGGAGCAACGCCGCGUGAGUGAAGAAGGUCUUCGGAUCGUAAAGCUCUGUUGUUAGAGAAGAACAGCGCAUAGAGUAACUGUUAUGCGUGUGACGGUAUCUAACCAGAAAGCCACGGCUAACUACGUG
rnacentral:rRNA from 1 species